ACACUGCAAAUGGCGCACCUUCGGAAAACGGUUCCAGUUUGCGGGAAGAACGAUUCCUUUUGUCCAAACAGCAUCCUACUUUUGCCUGACAGACCAACUACCUUUGGAAGAAUAAUAUCUCCCGAUACAAAUGUCCGGUUAUUGUCGAAAGCGACGCCUUUGAUGAUUUCUCGCAGACAUGCCACGGUUUCUCUUUCGGCGGGCAAAUGGACGAUAACCGACCAUGAGAGUCUAAAUGGAGUCUUCAUAAAUGGCAACAGAAUUCAGCCCAAUACCCGUCAUGUUCUGGAAUUUGGUGACAAAGUUGCUUUUGGUGUUGGGAUAGACUCUAGUCCACCAGAGUUUGAAUAUGAGUUUGAACCUGUAGGAAAAGGUUGUAAAAGACGUGCAGAUACACCUCUGUCAAGAAGCAAAGGAAAUUCUGUUAAACAUAGAAAGAUUGUGGCAGAAAGUGGCAGCUAUGUACAGGUAACUUCCCCAUUAAGUGCAGACCAUCCUGCUGUACAUGAAGUGAUCAGCAUGGCCGAGGAAAAGAUUAAGAAAUUGAAAUUAUCUUUAGAGGAAAAGGAGAAAUGUCAUGCAGAUGUGGUCCUGCAAUUGGAACAAACAGAGAAAGAGUUGCAAGCCAAGCUGCUGGAUCAGAAGGCUACCUUAGAACAGGAAAAAGAAGAGCUUGAAAGUGCACUUAAAACUCUGUUCGCAGAAAAGUUAGUAGAGAAGGAAGAACAGUUGAAUCAGGAAUUAAAAAGCCAAAAGGAAAGUUUGAUUGCGGAAAAGGAGCAGGUUGAAGUACAGCUGCAAGAGGAAUUGAAUAGAAAGCUAGAAGAAAAAGACAAAGAGCUAGAAAAUCAGUUGACUCGGCAGAAGCAAGUGCUGGAGCAAGUGAUUGCUGAAAAGGAGGCUCAGCAGAAUAUGCUGCAUAUGGAAUUAGAAAACUACAAAGCCUCCCAAGCUCGAAUGCAAGACUUGGAAGCCAAUGAAAGAAGGAUGGAAUCGACUUUACAGGAGCUACGGCAGAUUGUGGAGUCCAAAAACGAAGAGCUUCUUAAACAGCAAGAAGAGACAAAGAGAGUCGAGGAGGCCACAAGGAAAACAGUCAUAGAGCAGAUGGAGGAUGAGUUUACUUGCAUCAUAUGCCAAGACCUUUUUAUUAAUUCUACUACUUUACCAUGUGCCCAUUCCUUCUGUGAGUACUGCUUGAAAUCCUGGCUGCAGAAGAAGAGCAACUGUCCAAUCUGUCGUCAACCCAUAAUGGGAAGGCCCGUCAGGUCCCUUGUUCUUGAUAACGCCAUUGCCAAAAUGGUGGAAUCUAUGGAUGAGGAGACCAAGACAAGACGGCAGACAGUCAGCCAGGAAAGGGAAGAGUUGAAAAGAGGUAAUAUGGUACAAAAUGCAGUGAUCAUCAUUGAUGGCUAAAUGAGGCAGUGUUGCUGUUCAAACCCCCUAUCUACGACUAUUCCACCUUGUCUUUUGACUAGGUGACUAGGUGUAACUAAGAUCUGUGCCAAUAUAUGAGAGAAAAGUAAUGAUGUGUUCCUGAUGUGAAAAUGAUGGCUUACCCAGUAAAGUGAUUUCUCUUUGCAUGGCUCAUGUACCUUCAAAUCUAAGACCAUUGUUAGUCCAAAGUAGUCUUGUAAUGUACGCGAAGAACAAAGAGAUUGAGAAGUCUCCUCUACAAUUGAAUUUACAGUGUCAGAAUAUGCAGAAAUAGAGAGUCACCGUAACUUACAGAUUAAAGUACAAGAAGAACUGCAAAGUCUAUCAGUGGCAAAUUUCUGCGGUACGGAAGUUUACCGGAUUACAAUCCUAUAAAAAUACCUGCCAAAAACAGAGUACUAUGUAACAAGUUUGUUGAAGACAGAUUGAAUUACGAGUAUCAAUUUCAAGCUCUUACUCACCAAUUUCUUCAAUAUGCAAAUAUUACUUCUAGUCUCGGUGAUGCAGUCCGAACCCGUUUGAAAGAGAGUAAUUGGUGAUGUGCAUAUCUAUUUUGCCGUUAAUUGUGAUAAUGUGAUUACAACUAUCUGAGAUAGACGAAGGAGACAAAUAUUCUACAGUGGUUUUAUCCCGUACUGUCCGUCCGAGAUGUAGCUGAAGAUUCGAUUCAAGGCCAAAAGUAUUUACGCCGAAACCGUGACCAUUGAAUUAAGUUUCUGUAGUCGCUGCUUCUGGAGUUACACCUGGUUCACAGGACUAUCCAAUCACCGUGAAUGAUGGUGAACAAGGCAACCACAGUCAGGGUAACAUGGU
rnacentral:misc_RNA from 1 species